rnacentral:rRNA from 1 species
UACGUAGGGGGCAAGCGUUGUCCGGAAUCAUUGGGCGUAAAGCGCGCGUAGGCGGCCCGGUAAGUCCGCUGUGAAAAUCAAAGGCUCAACCUUUGAAUGUCAGCGGAUACUGCCGGGCUAGAGUCCGGAAGAGGCGAGUGGAACUCCUGGUGUAGCGGUGGAAUGCGCAGAUAUCAGGAAGAACACCAACGGCGAAGGCAGCUCGCUGGGACGGAACUGACGCUGAGGCGCGAAAGCGUGGGGAGCGAACAGG